CCUACGGGUGGCAGCAGUGGGGAAUAUUGGACAAUGGGGGGAACCCUGAUCCAGCGACGCCGCGUGAGUGAAGAAGGAUUUCGGGAUGUAAAGCUCUAUCAGCAGGGAAGAAAGAAAUGACGGUAGCGGACUAAGAAGCGGCGGCUAACGACGGGCCAGCAGCGGCGGUAAGACGGAGGGGGCAAGCGUUAUCCGGAUUUACUGGGUGUAAAGGGAGCGUAGACGGCGAUGCAAGUCUGAAGUGAAAGGCGGGGGCCCAACCCCUGGACUGCUUUUCAAACUGUAUGGCUGGAGUGCAGGAGAGGUAAGUGGCAUUCCUAGUGUAGCGGUGACAUGCGUAGAUAUUAGGAGGAACACCAGUGGCGAAGGCGACUUACUGGACUGUACCUGACGUUGCGGCUCGAAAGCGUGGUGAGCAAACAGGAUUAGAUACCCGAGUAGUC
rnacentral:rRNA from 1 species